GUGCCAGCAGCCGCGGUAAUACGGGGGGUCCUAGCGUUGUUCGGAAUCACUGGGCGUAAAGCGUUUGUAGGUGGCUUUGUAAGUUAAAUGUGAAAGCCUGGGGCCUAACCCCAGAAGUGCAUUUAAUACUGCAGAGCUUGAGUAUGAGAGAGGAAGGUGGAAUACCUGGUGUAGUGGUGAAAUACGUAGAUAUCAGGUGGAACAUCGGCGGCGAAAGCGGCCUUCUGGCUUAAUACUGACACUGAAAAACGAAAGCGUGGGGAUCAAACAGGAUUAGAUACCCUGGUAGUCCACGCCGUAAACGAUGAAUACUUGUUGUUGGAGGUAUUGACCCCUUCAGUGACGUAGCUAACGCGUUAAGUAUUCCGCCUGGGAAGUACGGUCGCAAGAUUAAA
rnacentral:rRNA from 1 species